GAUGAACGCUGGCGGCGUGCCUAAUACAUGCAAGUCGAGCGAACGGACGAGAAGCUUGCUUUUCUGAUGUUAGCGGCGGACGGGUGAGUAACACGUGGAUAACCUACCUAUAAGACUGGGAUAACUUCGGGAAACCGGAGCUAAUACCGGAUAAUAUUUUGAACCGCAUGGUUCAAAAGUGAAAGACGGUCUUGCUGUCACUUAUAGAUGGAUCCGCGCUGCAUUAGCUAGUUGGUAAGGUAACGGCUUACCAAGGCAACGAUGCAUAGCCGACCUGAGAGGGUGAUCGGCCACACUGGAACUGAGACACGGUCCAGACUCCUACGGGAGGCGGCAGUAGGGAAUCUUCCGCAAAGGGCGAAAGCCUGACGGAGCAACGCCGCGUGAGUGAUGAAGGUCUUCGGAUCGUAAAACUCUGUUAUUAGGGAAGAACAUAUGUGUAAGUAACUGUGCACAUCUUGACGGUACCUAAUCAGAAAGCCACGGCUAACUACGUG
rnacentral:rRNA from 1 species